AUUUGGACAAGAAUGACUGACUUGUCUUGGAGAAGCUCUUGCAUUUAAAUACCCAGCCAAGAAAAAUUGCACAGAUAGUGUGUAUAAGCUGCUCAUUCUGUACAGUGAAUUUUCUGAACCUUUCAAAGUAUAAAUGUUUUCCGUUCUUCCACAGAAAUAUGCAAAACAUUUCAUCAUUUUCUACUUUAUUUAUUGUUCCCUUUAAAUGACUGACCAGGAAAAAAAAAUCAUCCUUAAAUUUUGACGCAAGCAAGAGAAUUUAUUAAAAAGUAUAUAUCUAUAUAACCAUAUAUGACAGUGGCUCUAGUUUUAUAGAGCGCCAGGUGUAUUAAACAUGACAGCCGUUCAUUCACAAAACUCUGAAUUUGCUUUGCCUUGUUUCUGUUUUCCAGGGGAAAAGUGCAUAUGUGCCAUGUUCUUCUCCCUAGGUGACAUUGGAUUGUGUUAGCUGCAUGGCUGUUCAGGAAGGAAUUUAGGGCUUAAGCCAACUCUUACUUUAAGUGUAUUUUUUUAAAUUGCUGCUGGCUUUUCUGAAGACAAGUACUUCAACUCAUUAAGUUGUACUAAAUGAAUAGGUUUUUUUUAAUCACAUCAUUGUUAUAUCAGUAGACACAGAAGUCGUGUGAUAGAUCCAGUCGUGUCUAGGAGCAGCUGGGAUUGACUUGCUGCAGAGCAGAGGUCUAUUUACAUCUUACUUUCGGAUGUUGGGUAUUUGUGGAAAUUUAAAGAAUCAGGCAUCUCUAUACUUACAUUUUUAAACUUGUAAUGUUCUUCAAAUUCAAUUGCUAAUGAUUUGAUAGUUUAAUGCUUAGGGAUACAUAAAAGGUACUGAACUUGGCUGCUUCUGUGCUCAAGGUUUACUUGUAUGAAGUCAGAGAUGUUCUAAUGGAUUGAAAAGCUGCAGAAGUAUUUAAACGCUCACACUAAGUACUUUUUAUUAGUGUUUGAAUGUCCCCACCCCUUCCUUACAAAAUCAGAAUUGUUUCUAAAUUCAGUAGGUAUAUUAAAAGAAUUCUUUGUGCUCCCUAUUUUAUACAGAGCAAGUUUUCUCCAAAUGACACUGAUUUUUCUUUUCAUUAUAAGGGCAUUCUUGGUGUAUGAAAAAAAUUAAAAUCUAAUGUGAAUGAUACUGCUACUUUUAGCAAACUGGGCUUCCUAAUUAAUAUAAAACAUUAAUUUCCAUUUUUAUCCUUUCAAUAUGCACUGCGAAGUUCAUUAACUUAAAAUUUUGUAACUAUGAAGUUCACUUAGAAUUAUAACUUCUAUCCACUAGUUUAGUUUUGCUAAGAUUUUAUUUUUCUACUUUAGAUUAUGUUCUUCAGUUUUAUUCAGAAUUCACAAAUAAAAGCAGUAGUCUACUUAGUUGAAUAAACUAUAGAAAAUCUGGCUAUUCUCAAGCUUAAAAGAAUUUUUUUAAUUCUAACAUAUGGCAAGUUAUAUAGUAAAUGAUGGCCAGUCUUCAAAAGUCCUGCAUAAAUUAUUCUGUAAGAUAAUAAACUUGCUAUGACAGAAAGUAUCGGCUUUCAUUCAGUGGAGGUAUGUGACAGCAUCCCUUUGCAGAUAUGGUUUACGGUUGCUUUCAGGUAGGAUGUCAGGGAGCAUCCCUUUUGUUAGGUUACCUCACGUGAGGAACAGAACCCACAAGAUCAAGCCAGCCUUCUGGGGAAGACUAGUCUGCAGACCUCAUCAGGUUCUUAACCUUUCAUACCAGUUAUAGACUUCAGGCCUAUAGACUUGUUUAUCUACUCAGUAGUCAAAGUCUUAAAGAGAGGUGAAUCACCCCUGCUGUCUCCUUCCCAUCCCUCUUCUGAACUGGACCCUCCACAUCUGGCUCACUGAAUCCAGUAAGACAAAGUUGGAGGUGAGGAGGACCGAGAGACAGGUUAAUAAUGAUGCUUUAUUAUAGUGACAGUUCCCAACAUCACCAGUAAAUUGAGCUUAGGGAAUGGAUCAUCGGCUUAAAACAGUUUUACCUGUCAGCUCAGUCACCUACCUGUCUUUGGGAAAGAAGCUACUAUUUGUUUUAGAAAAUGAAAAUGUUAUUACCCUUUUCUCCAGCUGACUUCAAUUAUCCUCCUAGGUCUAGGUGUUCUAAAUUAGGUGUUUUAUAACCACUCCAUCAACAGACCACCUUUGUUGUGUUUGGGGCUCAAAAAGAACCCUAACUAGUAAGCUGCUUCUGAACUGAGAAAGCUCCUGACAUAUAGGAGGGAGCUGUAACUGCGUUUCCCAGAAUCUGAACAGGCUUACUAUUGCAUGUCCUAAACUGUCACAUUAGGAGACUACCGUUUUUGUAGAACCAUGUGAUGGCCCUGCUAUAUUACUACUACAUGUUCAUUUUCUCAAAGGAGGCCUAACAUUGCACUGAUGGCCAUCAUGGUUCCUGCACUAGAGUAUUCAGAGUAAACUGAUGCCAGACAAAUGUAGUUUACUGCAGGCUUACUGGAUCCUGACAUUUAAUUAAAUAUAACAUAAUCUAGUAAACACUGAAGUAACAAAUCAGUUGUUGAAACAUGAAAUAAAUGUUCUUCUGUAACAUGUC
rnacentral:lncRNA from 1 species